UGGGAAUACCAGGUGCUGAAAGCGUUUUCAUCCACUUUUUC
rnacentral:rRNA from 1 species